GGAAUCUUGCGCAAUGGGCGAAAGCCUGACGCAGCAACGCCGCGUGCGGGAAGAAGGCUUUCGGGCUGUAAACCGCUUUCAGCAGGAACGAAAAUGACGGUACCUGCAGAAGAAGGAGCGGCCAACUAUGUGCCAGCAGCCGCGGUGAUACAUAGGCUUCAAGCGUUGUCCGGAUUUAUUGGGCGUAAAGAGUUCGUAGGCGGUCAAGUAAGUCGGGUGUGAAAAUUCUGGGCUUAACCCAGGGACGCCACCCGAUACUGCUUAACUUGAGUUCGAUAGGGGAGUGGGGAAUUCCUAGUGUAGCGGUGAAAUGCGCAGAUAUUAGGAGGAACACCGGUGGCGAAGGCGCCACUCUGGAUCGAUACUGACGCUGAGGAACGAAAGCAUGGGUAGCAAACAGGAUUAGAUACCCUGAUAGUCCAUGCCGUAAACGGUGGGCACUAGGUGUGGGAUUCUAUUAACGAAUUCCGCGCCGUCGCUAACGCAUUAAGUGCCCCGCCUGGGGAGUACGGUCGCAAGACUAAAACUCAAAGGAAUGGACGG
rnacentral:rRNA from 1 species